GUUUCUGUAGUGUAGUGGUUAUCACGUUUGCCUCACAUUCGAAAGGUCCCCGGUUCGAAACCGGGCAGAAACA
rnacentral:tRNA from 1 species